CUCCUAGAGAGCAUGGGUUUAUUAAAUUAGUUUUCUAGAUGUAAUUAGCAAUUAUUUAUGUGCAUAUGUUAUAAAUUUAGGACAUUUCUUCCUCUUUCAGAGAGGGGAUCAUCAGAAAUAUUAUCAAGGGCAGAAAUGAAAGUUUCCUGUUUCCUUUCUUCUCCUCUCUUCUGCUAAUGGCACUUACUUGGCACCAUCUUUGCAGGACUAGAUAUGAUGCAGGUCAACAUUCGGGAUGGCGAUUCUGGACAACUAGUGAACAUAGGGAAAGGGAUUGAAGCCAAGAUCGAAGCCUUCUUCAAGGGCUCAAAAAGGCUCAAGAUCUAGGCUGGCAGACCGUGGAGAUUUGGUGUGAUUCAAAAGAACUUGAGUAGGUGUUCUCAGAUCCAAAUAAUUGCUCUUGUCCUUUCUAUCUUUAUUUUUGGAUGUUCACAGUAUAUUGCUUUUUGUGUUAAAGAGGGCAAUGGGUUGAUUUUUUGGCUUGAAAGGUUUGCAAGUAAAUUUAUGAAUCAGAAGUUCAAGAUCCGGACUUCUGGACAUUUUGUA